AUGGAAGCUAUUGUGAAGGCAAGAAAAGAAGCCAACGAGGUGAGGAAAAUGGCAAGGACCCAAGAUGCCGCGGCCGAGGAAAGGUGGUUGGCGGCCGAGGAGAGGAGGGUGGCGGCCGAGGAGAGGAAGGUGACUUUGGAGGAGAGGAAGGUGAGCAAUAAGGAGCGAACUAGAUUGUUGGAAUGGGAGAAGAACUUGUUCUUAUUAGACACAACUAACCUCAAUGAGGCGCAAAAGGAGUAUGUCAAUCUUGCCCAACAAGAAGUCUUGAUCCAAAAAAGAGCCAUGGUUCGUGCAAUGGGUGGCGGUGGCCUCGGCGCCAUGGGUGGCGGUGGCCUCAACGCCAUGGGUGGCAUGGGUGGCUUCGGAGGUAUCGUGGACGGUUUAGGUGCAAUGGGAGGCAUGGCUGGCUUUGGAGCACCCCCCGACGCUAUGGCCACCAUGGGAGGCAUGAGUUUUGCUUCUCUCAUGGAAGGCAUGGGUGCACCUCCGGCCACCAUAGGCGGAAUGUCUUUCGAUGUGCCUCCUCGCACACAUUCCCAUGAAGAUGCCGUUGAAGAUCUUGCCAACAUCGUCGGAGCUUCACGUGAUGCGGUGCGCGAUGAGGAGAGGGAGGAAGAUUCAUCUUCGGAGGCGGAAGAAUCGUCUUCCGAAGAUGAGGACGAGGACGAGGACGAGGACGAGGAAUGA
rnacentral:rRNA from 1 species